rnacentral:misc_RNA from 1 species
GAACUGCGAUAAGUAAUGUGAAUUGCAGAAUUCAGUGAAUCAUCGAGUCUUUGAACGCACAUUGCGCCCCCUGGCAUUCCGGGGGGCAUGCCUGUCCGAGCGUCAUUGCUGCCCUUCAAGCCCGGCUUGUGUGUUGGGUCGUCGUCCCCUCCGGGGGACGGGCCCGAAAGGCAGCGGCGGCACCGCGUCCGGUCCCCGAGCGUAUGGGGCUUUGUCACCCGCUCGAUAAGGACCGGCCGGGCGCCAGCCGGCGUCUCCAACCUUUUUUUCUCAGGUUGACCUCGGAUCAGGUAGGGAUACCCGCUGAACUUAAGC